rnacentral:rRNA from 1 species
AUUCAACGCUGGCGGCAUGCUUUACACAUGCAAGUCGAACGGUAACAGGCCGCAAGGUGCUGACGAGUGGCGAACGGGUGAGUAAUGCAUCGGAACGUGCCCAGUCGUGGGGGAUAACUACUCGAAAGAGUAGCUAAUACCGCAUACGAUCUAUGGAUGAAAGCGGGGGACCGUAAGGCCUCGCGCGAUUGGAGCGGCCGAUGUCAGAUUAGGUAGUUGGUGGGGUAAAGGCUCACCAAGCCAACGAUCUGUAGCUGGUCUGAGAGGACGACCAGCCACACUGGGACUGAGACACGGCCCAGACUCCUACGGGAGGCAGCAGUGGGGAAUUUUGGACAAUGGGCGCAAGCCUGAUCCAGCAAUGCCGCGUGCAGGAAGAAGGCCUUCGGGUUGUAAACUGCUUUUGUACGGAACGAAACGGCUCUGGUUAAUACCCGGGGCUAAUGACGGUACCGUAAGAAUAAGCACCGGCUAACUACGUGC